GCGUCAGCCGGGGUUCGAACCCAGAUCUCACUCUUUCUGUAGUGCAAUGAUUAGCAUACGCUCCCGGAAAGAGUGAGGUCUGGGUUCGAAUCCCGGCUGACGCA